rnacentral:rRNA from 2 species
AACCGGUGUUUUGGUCGAUUAGUAAAGGCUGGCUCACCACUCGCCGAAGCUUGUGGGAUACACCACCUUCCUAUCAACGCAGUCUUCUUCUGCGAACCUUCAUCCGAAGAAGGAAUAUCUUGUCUCGGGAUAGGAUUCGUGCUUAGAUGCUUUCAGCACUUAGCCUAGAUGGCUUAGCUGCCCGGCCUGCCCUGUCGGACAACCGGUAGACCAGUGGCCACGCCUCUCUGUUCCUCUCGUACUAAGAGCGACUUCCCCUCAGAUAUUCGCGCUUCCAUCAGGCAGAGGCCGACCUGUCUCACGACGGUCUAAACCCAGCUCAUGUUCCCUUUUAAUAGGCGAGCAGCCUCACCCUUGGCCCCUGCUGCAGGACCAGGAUAGGAAAAGCCGACAUCGAGGUACCAAACCGCGGGGUCGAUAGGAGCUCUCGCCCGCGACGAGCCUGUUAUCCCUGGGGUAAUUUUUCUGUCACCUCCGGGCCCCAAUAGUGGGCACACGAAGGAUCGCUAAGCCAGACUUUCGUCUAUGAAUUCCGUGCGUUUGGAAAUCCAUUCAGUCUAGUUUUUGGCUUUGCCCUCUUCAGCGGAUUUCUGACCCGCUUGAACUAAACUUUGGGCCCCUUUGAUAUCUUUUCAAAGGGGUGCCGCCCCAGCCGAACUGCCCACCUGCACAUGUCCCCGGUCUUCACCGGGUAAGUGGCACUGCAGGAAAUGUCUGGUGUUACAUCGGCGUCCCCUGACGUCCCAAAGAACGCCAGGAAAUGACUCCCAGAUACGCUAUGCACUCCCUGCUAUACCACAAGCACAAGCUGCAGUAAAACUCCACGGGGUCUUCUCUCCCCGAUGGAAGAUGAUGGACUGUUCGUCCACCUUAUGUGGCUUCACCGGGUUGUAGGCGGGGACAGUGGGGCUCUCGUUGUUCCAUUCAUGCACGUCGGAACUUACCCGACAAGGCAUUUGGCUACCUUAAGAGAGUCAGAGUUACUCCCGGCGUUAACCGGUCCUUAGCUCGGUUGAACCCAAGUUUUAGAUACCGGCACCGGCCAGGAUUCAGCGACUAUACAUACCCUUUCGGGCUAGCAGUCGCCUGUGUUUUUAUUAAACAGUCGAAACCCCCUUGUCACUGCAACCUGCUGCCGCCAUUCCUCAUGACAGCUGCAGGCAUCCCUUAUACCUAAGCUACAGGACUAAUUUGCCGAAUUCCCUCGCCAUACGGUAUACCCGUAGCACCUUAGUUUACUAAACCAGCGCACCUGUGUCGGAUCUGGGUACGAACUUGCAGUUUGCUAGCCGCACGGUCUUUCAUGGUCUCCUGGAAUCGGGAAAACUCUGCUAACGCAAAGCCACUCCCGCCUCGGGCCUGUUCUCGUCAUUACGACACUCCCAGGCCCUCGAACGGUUCGACACGACGACGGUCAUGUUCCCCCUAUCCGGAAGCGAACCAUGCGGUUCAAACGCUCCCUGCAAGGUACCAGAAUAUUAACUGGUUUCCCAUUCGGACUACUCUGUUGAGGCAGUCCUUAGGAUCGACUAACUCCAGGCUGACGACGCAUUGCCUGGAAACCCUUGCGCUUACGGUGGUGCGGAUUCUCACCGCACUAUGCUGUUACUGCCACCAGGAUCUGCAAUAGAAAUCGGUCCACAGGACGUCACCGCCCUGCUUCGUCCCAAUCACUACGCCAACCUACCACGGUGCACCUAUCACGGUGCACGUCUGGAGUAUCGGUACUCUGCUUUAGCCCCGUCCGUUUUUGUGGCGCCCUCGCUCGGCAGGUAAGUUGUUACACACUUUUUGAAGGAUAGCUACUUCUGAGCUUACCUCCCUGCUGUCUUGGCGAUGACACGCACUUUGGCUUGACACUUAGCAGAAAUUUGGGGACCUUAACUCCAGUCUGGGUUAAACCCCUCUCGGUCGUGAACCUUACGUCACACGAACCCGUGUCCAUGCUUCUGCGAUGUGUAUCCGUUCGGAGUUUGAAUGGAUGGUGAGGAAUCUCUUCCCCGCGCCACCCUAUCAGUGCUCUACCGGAAACACCAUCUCCACAUAGCACGCCCUGCGAGACGCUUCGGUUGGAACUAGCAAGCGCCAGUCUAGAUUGGUUUUUGACCCCUAUUCCCAAGUCACACAAACGAGUUGCACGUCAGAACUGCUGCAGACCUCCAGUGGGCUUUCGCCCACCUUCAUCUUGCUCAGGAAUAGAUCGACUGGCUUCUAGCCUUACCGCCAUGACUUAACGCACUUUCACACGCUUCUCCUCACAAUGCUGCGAGAAUUCGGUUUCCCUUCGGCUACGCCUUUCUAGGCUUAACCUCGCCAUGACAGCAAGCUCCCUGGCCCGUGUUUCGAGACGGAACGCAUGACACUGACGACAUGAGCUCCGGACUUUCAGCUCCAUUGCUGGAACCUCCGGUCCGAAAAAAUCGUCUUUCAUGCCAUGCACGUCUGUAAGCAAUAGGUUUCAUGCACUUUUCACCCCCCUUCCGGGGUACUUUUCAGCUUUCCCUCACGGUACUAGUACACUAUCGGUCUUGAGAGAUAUUUAGCCUUUGAUGCUACUUUCACCAAUCUUCGCUGCCCACUGCCAAGGACAACUACUCGGGUGCUGGCCCUGCCCCAUUCCACUUCGUCUAGGGGGGUAUCACCCUCUAAGCCGGAACAUUUCAGAACACUUCAACUAUUUCCUGGGGCCAUUGCGCCGCACCAAAACACCACAUCUCGGCCGCGUUACCGCGGCAGAUUCAGUUUGGGCUCUUUCCUUUUCGAUCGCCUCUACUUGGGAAAUCUCUAUUGAUUUCUCUUCCUCGUGGUACUAAGAUGCUUCAAUUCCCACGGUUCGACCUCCGCUUGCGCGGAGUAUACAGGAUUCCUAUUCGGAAAUCUCGGGAUCAACGGGUGCGUGCACCUACCCCGAGCUUAUCGCAGCUUGCCACGUCCUUCUUCUCUCCUCAAGCCUAGCAAUCCUCCUAUUGCCGUCUUUACACCGGCAUAUUCAGCC